GGUCUAUACAUGCAAGUCGAGCGGACAGAAGGGAGCUUGCUCCCGGAUGUUAGCGGCGGACGGGUGAGUAACACGUGGGUAACCUGCCUGUAAGACUGGGAUAACUCCGGGAAACCGGAGCUAAUACCGGAUAGUUCCUUGAACCGCAUGGUUCAAGGAUGAAAGACGGUUUCGGCUGUCACUUACAGAUGGACCCGCGGCGCAUUAGCUAGUUGGUGAGGUAACGGCUCACCAAGGCGACGAUGCGUAGCCGACCUGAGAGGGUGAUCGGCCACACUGGGACUGAGACACGGCCCAGACUCCUACGGGAGGCAGCAGUAGGGAAUCUUCCGCAAUGGACGAAAGUCUGACGGAGCAACGCCGCGUGAGUGAUGAAGGUUUUCGGAUCGUAAAGCUCUGUUGUUAGGGAAGAACAAGUGCAAGAGUAACUGCUUGCACCUUGACGGUACCUAACCAGAAAGCCACGGCUAACUACGUGCCAGCAGCCGCGGUAAUACGUAGGUGGCAAGCGUUGUCCGGAAUUAUUGGGCGUAAAGGGCUCGCAGGCGGUUUCUUAAGUCUGAUGUGAAAGCCCCCGGCUCAACCGGGGAGGGUCAUUGGAAACUGGGAAACUUGAGUGCAGAAGAGGAGAGUGGAAUUCCACGUGUAGCGGUGAAAUGCGUAGAGAUGUGGAGGAACACCAGUGGCGAAGGCGACUCUCUGGUCUGUAACUGA
rnacentral:rRNA from 2 species